AACGAACGCUGGCGGCGUGGAUAAGACAUGCAAGUCGUGCGGGACAUCGUUGGUAGCAAUAUUAGCGGUGUCUAGCGGCGAACGGGUGCGUAACACGUAGCUCACCUACUCGAAGUGGGGAUAGCUCGCCGAAAGGCGAAUUAAUACCGCAUGUGGCUGUAAGACUAAAGCGGGGGAUCGUAAGACCUCGCGCUUCGAGAUGGGGCUGCGGCCUAUCAGCAGUUGGUGAGGUAACGGCCCACCAAGGCGAUGACGGGUA
rnacentral:rRNA from 1 species